rnacentral:rRNA from 1 species
GGGUCAGUAGGUUGGUCGUGCCACCGGUACGUACUGGUCUCACUGAUUCCUCCUUCCUGAAGAACCGUAAUGCCAUUAAUUUGGUGUUGCGGGGAAACAGGACUGUUACUUUGAAAAAAUUAGAGUGUUUAAGCGAGCUAACGCUUGAAUACAUUAGCAUGGAAUAAUGAAAUAGGACGAUCGAUCCUAUUUUGUUGGUUUCUAGGAUUGACGUA